rnacentral:rRNA from 1 species
CCCUUGAGAGUGGCGAACGGGUGAGUAAUAUAUCGGAACGUGCCCAGUCGUGGGGGAUAACGUAGCGAAAGUUACGCUAAUACCGCAUACGAUCUAAGGAUGAAAGCGGGGGACCGUAAGGCCUCGCGCGAUUGGAGCGGCCGAUAUCAGAUUAGGUAGUUGGUGGGGUAAAGGCUCACCAAGCCAACGAUCUGUAGCUGGUCUGAGAGGACGACCAGCCACACUGGAACUGAGACACGGUCCAGACUCCUACGGGAGGCAGCAGUGGGGAAUUUUGGACAAUGGACGCAAGUCUGAUCCAGCCAUUCCGCGUGCAGGAUGAAGGCCCUCGGGUUGUAAACUGCUUUUGUACGGAACGAAAAGGUCUCUCUUAAUACGAGGGGCUCAUGACGGUACCGUAAGAAUAAGCACCGGCUAACUACGUGCCAGCAGCCGCGGUAAUACGUAGGGUGCAAGCGUUAAUCGGAAUUACUGGGCGUAAAGCGUGCGCAGGCGGUUAUGUAAGACAGAGGUGAAAUCCCCGGGCUCAACCUGGGA